GCAUGGAGUUGUACUGCAUGCGCUGCACCUCGGCAGAGAAACACCUGAGCUAUAGCAAAGCUGAAGCUGGGAUAAUGCACAGGCAAGGAGUCAAACCUGGAAUUUCAGCUCCAUGAAUGCACCAAUGGCCCAGCAUAGCUCCCAGAGCCAUGUCAUUGACUUGGAGAGCCCACGGACAAUGCUGACACUCAGGUACCUUUCUAUCCCAUGUCUUGGUGCUUCUGAGGUGGGUUGUAGGAGCUGUAUUUUUAUUCUGGAUCCUCUCAGUUUUCUUCUUCCUGAUGGCAGCUUCCAG